rnacentral:rRNA from 1 species
CACUCCUACGGGAGGCAGCAGUGGGGAAUUUUGGACAAUGGGCGCAAGCCUGAUCCAGCCAUGCCGCGUGCGGGAAGAAGGCCUUCGGGUUGUAAACCGCUUUUGUCAGGGAAGAAAAGGUUCUGGCUAAUACCUGGGACUCAUGACGGUACCUGAAGAAUAAGCACCGGCUAACUACGUGCCAGCAGCCGCGGUAAUACGUAGGGUGCAAGCGUUAAUCGGAAUUACUGGGCGUAAAGCGUGCGCAGGCGGUUAUGCAAGACAGAGGUGAAAUCCCCGGGCUCAACCUGGGAACUGCCUUUGUGACUGCAUGGCUAGAGUACGGUAGAGGGGGAUGGAAUUCCGCGUGUAGCAGUGAAAUGCGUAGAUAUGCGGAGGAACACCGAUGGCGAAGGCAAUCCCCUGGACCUGUACUGACGCUCAUGCACGAAAGCGUGGGGAGCAAACAGGAUUAGAAACCCUGGUAGUCCCAUG